rnacentral:rRNA from 1 species
GGAUUCCCCUAGUAACGGCGAGUGAAGCGGGAAGAGCUCAAAUUUAAAAUCUGGCAGUGUAUUCUGUCCGAGUUGUAGUCUAGAGAAGCAUCAUCCGUGCUGGACCAUGUACAAGUCUCUUGGAACAGAGCGUCAUAGAGGGUGAGAAUCCCGUCCUUGACAUGGACUCCCAGUACUUUGUGUUGUGCUCUCAACGAGUCGAGUUGUUUGGGAAUGCAGCUCAAAAUGGGUGGUAAAUUCCAUCUAAAGCUAAAUAUUGGCGAGAGACCGAUAGCGAACAAGUACCGUGAGGGAAAGAUGAAAAGCACUUUGGAGAGAGAGUUAAACAGUACGUGAAAUUGUUGAAAUGGAAACGCUUGAAGUCAGUCGCGUUCUCUGGGAUUCAGCCUGGCUUUUGCUUGGUGCAUUUCCCGGUCUACGGGCCAGCAUGAAUUUUGACCAAUGGAAAAAGGCUUGGGGAAUGUGGCACCUUCGGGUGUGUUAUAGCCCUUUGUCACAUACGUUGGUUGGGAUUGAGGUCUUAGUGCACGCUUCGGUUGUGCUUUGAUGCUGGCGUAAUGGCUUUAAACGACCCGUCUUGAAACACGGACCAAGGAGUCUAACAUGUCUGCGAGUGUUUGGGUGCAAAACCCGAGCGCGAAAUGAAAGUGAUAGUUGGGAACCUCUUUAGAGGGGCACCGACGCCCGGACCAGACCUUCUGUGACGGAUCCGAGGUAGAGCAUAUAUGUUGGGACCCGAAAGAUGGUGAACUAUGCCUGCAUAGGGUGAAGCCAGAGGAAACUCUGGUGGAGGCUCGUAGCGAUUCUGACGUGCAAAUCGAUCGUCAAUGUGGGUAUAGGGGCGAAGA